rnacentral:rRNA from 1 species
AUGGUAGGAUAGAGGCCUACCAUGGUGGUAACGGGUAACGGGGUGUUAGGGCACGACACCGGAGAGGGAGCCUGAGAAACGGCUACCACAUCCAAGGAAGGCAGCAGGCGCGCAAAUUACCCAAUCCCGACACGGGGAGGUAGUGACAAUAAAUAACAAUACAGGGUUCUUUAGGAUUUUGUAAUUGGAAUGAGUACAAUUUAAAUCUCUUAACGAGGAACAAUUGGAGGGCAAGUCUGGUGCCAGCAGCCGCGGUAAUUCCAGCUCCAAUAGCGUAUAUUAAAGUUGUUGCAGUUAAAAAGCUCGUAGUUGAAUUUCGGGAUCAAUACGUCGGUCGUGCUUCGGUACGUACUGGCGUCAUUGAUUUCUCCCUUCUGACGAACCAUGAUGUCAUUAACUUGGUGUCAUGGGAAAUCAGGACUGUUACUUUGAAAAAAUUAGAGUGUUUAAAGCAGGCUCACGCUUGAAUACAUUAGCAUGGAAUAAUGAAAUAGGACGUUCGAUCCUAUUUUGUUGGUUUUUAGGAUCAACGUAAUGAUUAAUAGGGAUAGUUGGGGGCAUUAGUAUUCAAUUGUCAGAGGUGAAAUUCUUGGAUUUAUUGAAGACUAACUACUGCGAAAGCAUUUGCCAAGGAUGUUUUCAUUAAUCAAGAACGAAAGUUAGGGGAUCGAGGACGAUCAGAUACCGUCGUAGUCUUAACCAUAAACUAUGCCGACUAGGGAUCGGAUGAUGUUAAUUUUUUAAUGACUCAUUCGGCGCCUUACGGGAAACCAAAGUGUUUGGG